UCUCCCAACCCUCGUACCA
rnacentral:miRNA from 1 species